rnacentral:tRNA from 1 species
AAAAUCCGUCGACUUUAUAA